CCCUUAGAUGUUCUGGGCUGCACGCGUGCUACACUGAUAUUGCCAAUAUGUCAUUCUUAUCCGAAAUGGAUUGGGUAAUCAAGUAAUGAAAUUUCAUGCUUGGAAUCGGUAAUUGCAAUUUUAUCGUGAACGAGGAAUUCCUAGUAAGCACUAGUCAUCAGCUAAUGUUGAUUAUGUCCCUGCCCUUUGUACGCACCGCCCGUCGCUACUACUGAUUGGGUGUUCAAGUGAGAUGCUUAGACCCUUGUUGCAUGGUUCAUUAUUGUGCUCCGAAAGGAAAAAGUUUCAAGCUUGAGUGUCUAGAGGAAGUAAAAGUCGAAACA
rnacentral:rRNA from 1 species